UCUCAAAACACUAUCGUGAAUCAGAAAACCCUAGCAACAUCUGCCUUGAAGCGAUCUCAGCAUAGCUCGUAGUUCUCAGCGUUUCAUCUGUGUUUUCUCAAAACCGAGAAAGCACAGGUCUUCCUAGCAGCGAUCUCAACUCAAUCUCUAUUUUCUACCUUACUCGAAUUUCAGAUGGCAACUAUGCCAUGCACUGCUAAGGGACAUGGUUGGCUAAGGCCUGCAAUUGGAGUCGUCGAGCUCUCCCAGUGCAUAAUUCAGGUCUUUGAUUUAAUGUUGUUUAAGCAAUACUUCUGUGAUCGUGUCAAAUGACUUAUUUACUACUACUAAAGUGACUGUAAGCAUAGUUUUAUCAUUCAACUACUAAAGUUUAGGUUGAUUUAGCAGAAAGGGAGUAUUUAGCAAAGUCUUUACAUCUAUGAGGAGGUACUUUGAUUAUGUUUUGAUUUAAAGGGAGGUAACCUACUAUCUCUACCAUACACAUGGGAACAAAUUAGAUAUUCCUUGUUGACUAGACCUGGAAACUGAGACUGGUUGGCCCAGGAGACUGACCUAACAUGCACAGAAAAUGGGGACCAAAAUUGUCCCAGGCAGGCUGGGCUGGUCCUGAUUGUCGCCCAAAAUCAAUGCAGACCGAGCUAGGCUAGCUAUUGGAAUGGACCAGGACCGGGUGGGCUUGUAAUAAAAAGUGGCAAAUAGGCGGCUGGGCUGAAUCUGGGCAGGUCAAGUCGUCAAGAUGGUGCUGUAAGGAAGGGAGGAGAACAAGAACUUACAUACUUAAUCAUGUCUUCUAGUCAAGGAACGGGAGCGAUACACAAGAACUCCAUGGUUCUUAAGCUACACUAUAUGAAAGU